rnacentral:rRNA from 1 species
UACAUUGGAACCUGCCCUGUGAGUGGGGGAUAACUCGUCGAAAGAUUAGCUAAUACCCCAUACCACCUGAGGGUGAAAGUGGGGGACCGCCAGGUCUCCUGCUAUUGGAGCGGCCGAUGCCUGAUUAUACUAGUUGGAGAAGUAAAGGCUCACCCAGGCGACCAUCAGUAGCUGUGGCUGAGAGGACACAUACAANNNNNNNGGGACUGAAACACCGCCCCUACUCCUACCGGAGGCAGCAGUGGGGAAUUUUGGACCAUGGGCGAAAGCCUGAUCCAACCAUGCCCCCCGGGGGAAGAAGAGCCUUCCGGUUGAAAACCACUUUUUUCCCGAAGGAAAUUGCUCCGGUUAAUACCUGGGGUCGAUGAC